rnacentral:tmRNA from 1 species
GGGGACGCUAGGUUUCGACGGGAAAGCACAUUAACACGCAGCAAUCCGAGUUUGGUUAAUACUCGUUAAACAGAACUAAAAACUAACUGGUACGGAUGAAUCCGUUCCAUCAGGUUUAGCUUACGCAUACGCGUAAACUAGUCUGCAUCUGUAUUUUGUGCGCUCAACCGCAAAGUAUGGGUGUCAACCUUAGUUGAGAUAGUUCAAAACAUCGAUCGAGUUUUGAACAAAAUUUAGAUCAGGCAAACACUAGUACUUUUGGUAUUUGAAGAUGUGUUUGUUAAAAAAUAUCAAUUACCUAAGCUUGUAGAAGCGUUUAAGGCUGUUUUGCCGGAUGAGGGUUCAACUCCCUCCGUCUCCACCA